GGUUCGAUUAUGGCUCAGAUUGAACGCUGGCGGGACGUUUUACAUACGGGUCGAACGGCAGCACGGACUUCGUCCGGUGGCGAGUAAAGGAACCAAGGAGGAAUGGGCAUCGAACCGUGUGCCUAGUAGCGGGGGAUAAUCUGCAUGCGAAAGUAGCAGCUUUAAUACCGCAUACGCCCUUCGGGGAAAGCGGGGACCUUCGGGCCUCGCACUAUUAGAGCGGCCGAUAUCGGAUUAGCUAGUUGCGGCAACGGCUCACCAAGGCGACGAUCCGUAGCUGGUUUGAGAGGACGACCAGCCACACUGGGACUGAGACACGGCCCGACUCCUACGGGAGGCAGCAGUGGGGAAUUUCUGGGACAAUGGGAAACCUGACCAGCCAUCCUGGCGUGUGCGAUGAAGGCCUUCGGGUUGUAAAGCACUUUGGCAGGAAAGAAACGGCACGGGAUAAUACCCCGUGCAACUGACGGUACCUGCAGAAUAAGCACCGGCUAACUACGCGCCAGCAGCCGCGGUAAUACGUAGGGCAAGCGUUAAUCGGAAUUACUGGGCGUAAAGCGUGCGCAGGCGGUUCGGAAAGCAAAGAUGUGAAAUCCCAGAGCUUAACUUUGAACUGCAUUUUUUAACUACUGAGCUAGAGUGUGUCAGAGGGAGGUGGAAUUCCGCGUAGCAGUGAAAUGUAGAUAUGUGCGGAGGAACACUGAUGGCGAAAGGCAGCCUCCUGGGAUAACACUGACGCUCAUGCACGAAAGCGUGGGGAGCAAACAGAUUAGAUACCCUGGUAGUCCACGCCCUAAACGAUGUCAACUAGCGUUGGGGCCUUCGGGCCUUGGUAGCGCAGCUAACGUUAUAGCUGACCGCCUGGGGAGUACGGUCGCAAGAUUAAAACUCAAAGGAAUUGACGGGGACCUUGCACAAGCGGUGGAUGAUGUGGAUUAAUUCGAUGCAACGCGAAAACCUUACCUUACCCUUGACAUGUCUGGAAUCCCAGAGAUUUGGGAGUGCUCGCAAGAGAACCGGAACACAGGUGCGCCAUGGCUGUCGUCAGCUCGUGUCGAGAUGUUGGGUUAAGUCCCGCAACGAGCGCAACCUUUAGUCAUUAGUUGCUACGAAACACCCCCAUCGAGACUGCCGGUGACAAACCGAGGAAGGUGGGGAUGACGUCAAGUCCUCAUGGCCCUUAUGGGUAGGGCUUCACACGGGAGCAAUGGUCGGGACAGAGGGUCGCCAACCCGCGAGUGGGAGCCAAUCCCAGAAACCCGAUCGUAGUCCGAUCGCAGUCUGCAACUCGACUGCGUGAAGUCGGAAUCGCUUAGUAAUCGCGGAUCAGCAUGUCGCGGUGAAUACGUUCCCGGGUCUUGUACACACCGCCCGUCACACCAUGGGAGGCUUUACCAGAAGUAGUUAGCCUAACCGUAAGGAGGGCGAUUACCACGGUAGGAUUCAUGACUGGGGUGAAGUCGUAACAAGGUAA
rnacentral:rRNA from 1 species